rnacentral:misc_RNA from 1 species
AGCAGCCGCGGUAAUUCCAGCUCCAAUAGCGUAUAUUAAAGUUGUUGCAGUUAAAAAGCUCGUAGUUGAAUUUCGGGGUUAGUAGGUUGGUCAUGCCUCUGGUAUGUACUGGUCUCACUGAUUCCUCCUUCCUGAUGAGCCGUAAUGCCAUUAAUUUGGUGUUGCGGGGAAUUUGGACUGUUACUUUGAAAAAAUUAGAGUGUUUAAAGCAAGCUAACGCUUGAAUACAUUAGCAUGGAAUAAUGAAAUAGGACGUUCGAUCCUAUUUUGUUGGUUUCUAGGAUUGACGUAAUGAUUAAUAGGGAUAGUUGGGGGCAUUAGUAUUCAAUUGUCAGAGGUGAAAUUCUUGGAUUUAUUGAAGACUAACUACUGCGAAAGCAUUUGCCAAGGAUGUUUUCAUUAAUCAAGAACGAAAGUUAGGGGAUCGAAGACGAUCAGAUACCGUCGUAGUCUUAACCAUAAACUAUGCCGACUAGAGAUCGGAUGAUGUUAAUUUUUUAAUGACUCAUUCGGCGCCUUA